GUCUUGUACUCACCGCCCGUCAAUUCAAGGGAGCCGGGAAUACUCGAAAUCUCUCCAGAAGGAGGGCCUACAGUAAGCUCGGUGACAGGGAAUAAGUCGUAACAAGGCACGGGUAGCGGAAGCUGUUCGUGGAAUA
rnacentral:rRNA from 1 species